AUUGAACGCUGGCGGCAUGCUUUACACAUGCAAGUCGAACGGUAACAGGCCGCAAGGUGCUGACGAGUGGCGAACGGGUGAGUAAUGCAUCGGAACGUGCCCAGUCGUGGGGGAUAACGCAGCGAAAGCUGUGCUAAUACCGCAUACGGUCUAUGGAUGAAAGCGGGGGACCGAAAGGCCUCGCGCGAUUGGAGCGGCCGAUGUCAGAUUAGGUAGUUGGUGGGGUAAAGGCUCACCAAGCCAACGAUCUGUAGCUGGUCUGAGAGGACGACCAGCCACACUGGGACUGAGACACGGCCCAGACUCCUACGGGAGGCAGCAGUGGGGAAUUUUGGACAAUGGGCGCAAGCCUGAUCCAGCAAUGCCGCGUGAAGGAAGAAGGCCUUCGGGUUGUAAACUGCUUUUGUACGGAACGAAACGGCCUGGGUUAAUACCCUGGGCUGAUGACGGUACCGUAAGAAUAAGCACCGGCUAACUACGUGCCAGCCGCCGCCGUAAGAC
rnacentral:rRNA from 1 species